UAACGUCCCAGUUCGGAUUGUAGUCUGCAACCCGACUACAUGAAGCUGGAAUCGCUAGUAAUCGCGAAUCAGAAUGUCGCGGUGAAUACGUUCCCGGGUCUUGUACACACCGCCCGUCACACCAUGGGAGUCGGAAAUGCCCGAAGUCAGUGACCCAACCGCAAGGAGGGAGCUGCCGAAGGUGGAGCCGGUAACUGGGGUGAAGUCGUAACAAGGUAGC
rnacentral:rRNA from 1 species